GGGAGUGACGGCCUCCUGUCCAUUCAGGUUGGGUUUUGGUGGUCUCGGCUCACACUGAGAACCUUCUAUGUGCCAGUCACUGGGGUUUUUAUACGUUGCUUCAUCGUAUCUGCUAGUCACUCCUGGGGGUGGGUACACGGUUACUGCCCUGGGCACUGGGUCCCAAGGUCAGCUGGCUGGGGAGAUGAGGAGCGGGGCCAUGAGCCUGGAGUCUGUCUCCAGGGCCGCAGCUACCCUUCUGUCCCCUUGCCUGCUGCGGGGACACGACCUCACCUUCCUCAUUCUGGUCGAGGCACAGGGCUUGGCCUCCAGCCCUGGGGCCAGCACCAGGUACUGAGCAGCCUCAGCAGAGCCAACAUUUGACGUGUGUGCGGAGCAUUUCCUGAUGGCGGCCUGGCUGGGAAGCUGAGCACUCAGGCCCCUGCUGACGCCAUGGUCAAAAUCGUCUUAGAACUUCUGGUUCAGAAUUCCACGUGGAUUCUACAGCUCAUUCUUUGUUUUAUGGACCUUCUACGGCGUCAGAUCAGUCCUUGGAGCCUGCUCUGGAUUACCUACUGUGUGAAGCUGAAAAGAAAAAGAGCAGUAUUCAUUUCAAAUUCACACCGUUCAGAUGUUCUACUCAUUUAUAUGAGCCACAUACGGGACUUGCACGAAUUGGCGAGACCUUCCUGUACAGUUCUGGAUGCUGGGAAAUCCUCGAUCAAGGGACUGACAGAUCCUGUGUCUGGUGAGGGCCUGCUUCCUGGCUAGGAUCUUUCUUUUAGAUCAGAUUUUUAACUUAC